GAGUAACUAAUAAAUAAUAAUCUUCCUGUCUAUAUAUAUCAAUGAAACAUAGCUGAUAGAAAAGCUUAUCAGAGAGAAUGGAGAUUGAAAGAGUGCAAGACAUUGCUUGUCUUUCCAAAGACACCAUCCCAGAAGAGUUCAUUAGGUCAGAGAAUGAGCAGCCAGUAAUCACCACUGUUCAUGGGGUCAACCUGGAGGUGCCAGUAAUCGAUAUGAGCGACCUAAAUGAGGAAAAGAUUAGUCAUUUGAUUGUUGAUGCUAGCCAGAAAUGGGGAAUGUUCCAAAUAAUCAACCAUGGCAUACCUGAAGAGAUUAUGAACCAGUUUAAAAGUGUGGGUAAGGAGUUUUUUGAGCUUCCACAAGAAGAGAAAGAAGUUUAUGCAAAGAAACCUGGGACUAUGGAAGGCUAUGGAACAUCUCUUCAGAGAGAAAUUCAGGCCAAGAAAGGCUGGGUUGAUCAUUUGUUCCACAAGAUAUGGCCACCUUCCGUUAUUAACUACAAGUUUUGGCCUAAGAAUCCACCUUCUUACAGGAAGGCCAAUGAAGAGUACGUCAAAAACCUACAUGGAGUGGUGGAUAGACUAUUCAAGAGCUUGUCAAAAGGUCUAGGACUUGAAGAGAAUGAACUAAAGGAAGCUGCAGGUGGGAAUGAGUUAGUUUACCUCCUGAAAAUAAACUAUUACCCACCGUGCCCACGCCCAGAUCUGGCACUUGGGGUGGUGGCUCACACUGAUAUGUCCUGCAUCACCAUUCUUGUGCCCAAUGAUGUCCAGGGUCUUCAGGCCUAUAGAGACGGACACUGGUACGAUGUCAAGUGCAUCCCUAAUGCACUAAUCAUCCACAUCGGUGACCAGAUUGAGGUAGCUCUCUCAUUCUCUCCAAAAGGAAAAAAAAAAUGAUAAUUAUAAUAUAUAAAUUUUAUAUUUUUUUAAUCCGUACCUUAACCUUUUAAAGUAAAUGGAAUCAUUGGAGUUUGAAAUUACGAGAGAGACACCUUUCAAAUCUCAGCUAAUUAAAAAGCCUUUUCAUAAGAUGUAUAAACAACAAAGUGACAUUAUUAUAUUUAAAAAAAUAUUACACACAGUGAGAUGUUGAUAUUUUGUGAAAAAGAAAUUAACUCUGAAUACGUAGUAUUAAAAAAUUAUAUAUGUUAACAAAUUAGGUUGAUGGUUUUGGCAGAUCUUGAGCAACGGAAAGUACAAGAGUGUGCUUCACAGAACAACAGUGAACAAAGACAAGGCAAGAAUGUCAUGGCCGGUGUUCUUGGAGCCUCCGACGGAUUUUGAAGUGGGGCCUCACUCCAAGCUCGUUAACGAAGAGAAUCCACCCAAAUAUAAGACCAAGAAGUAUGGUGAUUAUUGUUAUUGUAAGCUCAACAAGAUUCCACAGUAGUAGUUGUUGUGUGCUGUAACGAGUGGUGCAAGAAAAUUAGAGUGAAAUGAGCAUGAGGAAGGAGAUUUAUCAUGUAACUUAGGCUUGUUUAGAUUAUCUAGUAAUAUUAAAUAUUAUCGUAUUCUCUAUCAUAUGAUUAUUGAAAAAUAAAUAGUUGAAAAUGAAUACCAUCUGUUUAAAUAAUUAACUUAUAAAUGUGUUAUUUA
rnacentral:misc_RNA from 1 species